UACGUAGGGUGCAAGCGUUGUCCGGAAUUAUUGGGCGUAAAGAGCUCGUAGGUGGUCUGUCGCGUCGGCUGUGAAAACUCGGGGCUCAACUCCGAGCUUGCAGUCGAUACGGGCAGGCUAGAGUUCGGCAGGGGAGACUGGAAUUCCUGGUGUAGCGGUGAAAUGCGCAGAUAUCAGGAGGAACACCGGUGGCGAAGGCGGGUCUCUGGGCCGAUACUGACACUGAGGAGCGAAAGCGUGGGGAGCGAACAGG
rnacentral:rRNA from 1 species